rnacentral:rRNA from 1 species
GACGAACGCUGGCGGCGUGGAUUAGGCAUGCAAGUCGAACGGUUAGGAUACCUUCGGGUAUCUGAGAGUGGCGAACGGGUGAGUAACACGUAGGUGAUCUACCCUCAAGAUUGGGACAACCCAGGGAAACUUGGGCUAAUACCGGAUGAAAGCAGCAGUGAUGUUGUUUGAAAGGUGGCGUAAGCUGCCGUUUGGGGGAUGAGCCUGCGCUCUAUUAGUUAGUUGGCGGGGUAAAGGCCCACCAAGGCGAUGAUAGAUAGGCGGCCUUAACGGGUGGUCGCCCACACUGGGAUUGAGAUACGGCCCAGACUCCUACGGGAGGCAGCAGUCGAGAAUAGUCUACAAUGGCCGAAAGGCUGAUAGUGCGACGCCGCGUGAACGAAGAAGCCCUUCGGGGUGUAAAGUUCUUUUAUAUGUGAGCAGUGCUUUCUAUGUGAACAGCAUGGGGAGAGAGAUAUUAGCAUAUGAAUAAGCAACGGCUAACUCCGUG